UUGGAGGGCAAGUCUGGUGCCAGCAGCCGCGGUAAUUCCAGCUCCAAUAGCGUUUAUUAAAGUUGCUGCAGUUAAAAAGCUCGUAGUUGAAUUUCGGGACCAUCAUGUCGGUCGUGCCUCGGUACGUACUGGCAUUGCUGGUUUGUCCCUUCUGACGAACCAUGAUGUCAUUUAUUUGGUGUUGUGGGGAAUCAGGACUGUUACUUUCAAAAAAUUAGAGUGUUUAAAGCAGGCUCACGCUUGAAUACAUUAGCAUGGCAUAAUGAAAUAGGACGUUUGAUUCUAUUUUGUUGGUUUCUAGGAUUGACGUAAUGAUUAAUAGGGAUAGUUGGGGGCAUUAGUAUUCAAUUGUCAGAGGUGAAAUUCUUGGAUUUAUUGAAGACUAACUACUGCGAAAGCAUUUGCCAAGGAUGUUUUCUUUAAUCAAGAACGAAAGUUAGGGGAUCGAAGACGAUCAGAUACCGUCGUAGUCUUAACCAUAAACUAUGCCGACUAGGGAUCGGAUGAUGUUAAUUUUUUAAUGACUCAUUCGGCGCCUUACGGGAAAC
rnacentral:rRNA from 1 species